CACGUAGGGGGCGAGCGUUGUCCGGAAUCAUUGGGCGUAAAGAGCUCGUAGGCGGCUCGGUAAGUCGGGUGUGAAACCCCCAGGCUCAACCUGGGGACGCCACCCGAUACUGCUGUGGCUAGAGUCCAGUAGGGGAGUGUGGAAUUCCAGGUGUGAGCGGUGAAAUGCGUAGAUAUCUGGAGGAACACCGGUGGCGAAGGCGGCAUCCUGGACCGGCAUUGACGCUGAGGCGCGAAAGCCAGGGGAGCAAACGGG
rnacentral:rRNA from 1 species